UCGCCUCGAGGAGCAGCCCCAAGCCUGGCUGCUUGGGGUGGGCUCUGUUGGGGGACCUCUCUCUGCUUCCUGCCCGGGAGAGUGGGAAUGGCAGCCAAGUGUGCAGGUGCUGCCUCCCUGCCCUCCCUCCCUCCUCGCCCUCCCCCACCCUCCCCAGCUCCUGCUCUUCGCCCUGGGUCUAUUUCCAGCAGCGGCUGCCUGAGGCCAUCGCAGGUGUGGGUGGUGAGUCAGAGCCAGGCUGAGCGGACACGGUGGCCUUGGGGGCCUGAAGCUACCACAGCCUCCCUCCCUUGGCCUUUCCCAGCAGCCCUAUGGGCACUCUGAUGGGUAGAUGCUGAACCAGAGUCAAAGGGUCCCCCACCAGAGUCACCGAGACGAGGGGACAUGACCCAACAUGCCCCAAAUCAACCUCUCUGCUGGCUGGAGGUGGGGGCUGAGGCCCUGUCCUGUUCAUCUCCACGCCCAGUGUACCUAGGACUGGGCUGCGCACCCAGCAAGGAUGCAAUAAACAUUCACUGACUGAAUGGGCCAACAUCCAUAUGGGACUUUGGAGAAAUAGAAUUGCCGUGUGCAGGGUGCUUGUGAGGGCAGAGCGAGACUGCUGGAGACAGAUGAACAAACAGAGUUUAUGUGACCCUGGGCAGGUGAAUUGGCCUCUCCAAGCUUCCGUUUGCUCAUCAGUGAAAUGGGGGUAACAAUGUGCAUUUUGUAAAAUACGGCUGUAAAUGAGGCCACCUCAGAGAACUUUCUACUGUGCCUCAGACUGUAUCUAUAAUAAGAAGGAUCACAUUUCCUUAUUGGUAUAUUCAAAUGUGUUCUCUGCCUUGGAUGGCGAGCAGCUCCUGGGUCGGGACUGACUCUCAUUCAUCUUUGCCUUGGUGGGCCUGGCAUAGAGUCAGCCAGUUCUCCGUAUAUGUUUGUUGCAUGACUGACUGACCCCAUCCAGGACUGGAAUGUGUUAGAUUGUGAACGGUGGUAAUUGUGACCAUAGGCCCCAGGCUAUUUGAAUGCACAGAACUUCUACCCAAAAGAGAAGCUGGCUUUUGGCUUCCAUUUCUUAAGCACUUGUAUGCCAAGAGCUCUGCAGCUGAUUUCAUCAAACUCUUACAGCACCACACAAGCAGGUACUAUCAUUAUCUCCAUUUUACAGAUGCGGAAACUGAGGUUCAGAGAUACUCUGUCACUUGCUUCUGGUCACGUGUUCACCUAGAGGUGGAGCUGAGACCAGUCCCAGGUCUGUCUGAUCUCCCUAGGUUCUUUGUUGUUGUUGUUGUUGUUGGGAUUUUUUUGGCUCUACCUGCAGCAUGUGGAGGUUCCCGGGCCAAGGAUCGAAUGGGAGCCACAGCAGCGACUCAAGCCAUUGCUUGCAAGCCAUCGCAGUGACAAGGGCAGAUCCUUAACCUGCUGCUCCACAAGAGAACACCUUCCCUCGGUGCUUAACUGUCUCUGAUAUCACUGGUGUAGACAGAGGAGGGAGUCGGGAAAGCACGGCUAGUGGAUUUCAGCGCAGAUCUGUGCUGCUGUGAAGUGGUUAGGACAUCGGGACUGGAGAGGCCUGUCUGCGGGUCUGUGUGCCCGCCUAGUGCUGAGGACUUUCAGGGGUGGGACAAUGUCUCCUUCAGCUGGGUGACUCCAGGGCUCAGCACGCGCCCUGGCAUAGAGCGGGCGCUUGUUAUGAGUCUCCUGAGCGCAUGAAUGGCCUUUGGCCUUCUCUCUGCACUGGGUCCCACACUAUUGAGACAGCACAGACCACUCUGCUCAAAGGCACUGCAUUUCUGGGCACCAACCCAACCCCAGCUGGCAAUAGCCAGUGCCUGAGGGUCACUCCCCCAAGCUGAGCUGGCUUCUUAGUCAUAGUCAGCUCUUCCCUCCAUUUCAGAUUCUCCCUGUCCAGCCCCAGCCGACUCUCUUCUCUCUGCCUCCCAUGACUCUAGAGUUCUUCCCCAUCCCACUCCCAGCUCUCACACCUGGCCAAGCAGGAACUUCUUUCAGAGUCACUGAGCAGAUCUGUGUCAGGUGCUGAUGAAGUCACCACGGAGUGGAGAGGAGCUGGUACUGGAGCAGGGGACCGUAUGAGGAGCUGAGCCUUCGUGGACCAGAGAUAAAGAAAGAAGUGAGUGCCUGGUCCAUACUGAUUGUUCAGGACCUGUAGAGACUGCUCUUGUGGAGAUGUUGGGUCUUAUCUACUCCCACAUCAGUGUGUCUAGCACAGACAGCUCUUGAAGGAAUGGAUGUCUGACAGGUACCUCAAAGGUGAGUUCACCCUGCUCCUUUCCUGGGUUCCCCAUCACAACUAAUGCCAUCACCGUCCACCUCAAGCUCCAGAGUCAGGCAAUACGGUCAUCCUUACCUUCUCUCCCUCAAAUCAUUCUACUGUACGUACACUGUUCUGUACCAGAAAGUUCUUGUCCAUUUGUCCCUUCUCCUGUCCUCUUGCCAUUGCCCUGCUUCGGGCCACACUCGACUCAAGGCAACAGCUUCAGUCUGUCCUCUCUUCCCUCCUCUUGCCUUUAUCCAUCCUGUGUACCUACCACAGCGAUCUUUCUAGAACCCACACCUGCCCACGCCACUCCCCUGCUUCAAACCCUGCAUGUGUCCCCAUCAACCUCAGAACAGAGUGUGAGCUCCCUGGGGGAGGCUCUGGAAGCCCUGCCCAGGUCACCUUCAUCCCGCCCUGCACUCCAGCGGCGUUGCAUGCCCUUCCCCAGAACACUACACACUUUCUCCCUGCUGGGUUUUUCUGCUGGAAUUUGCCGCUGCCUGGAAUAGGCCUCCCCUCCUCCUCACGUGAACUACAAUCAUCCCUCAAAGAGCCCCCUCAAGGCUGACUCCUCCAGGAAGUCCUCCUUCUUGUCAUCCUUGCCCUGCCUUCCCUCAAGGAGCCUGCUUCCUCCCUCUUUUGUGUUCCCACAACACCUUUGCCUCUUGGCUGACCGGACCCUGAGCCCCACGGGGAGGCUCUGUCUCUCCAUCUCUGUGGCAGUACGGCAUGACGGGCUGGGCUCUGCCGGCCAAGGCGAAGGCCAGGGGCUUUCUCAAUGGGACCCUAGGGAACUCACUGGCUAAAUCUAGUUUGGUUCUUGACUGAUCCUUGACUCUGUAGGACAAAAACCUUUUUUUUUUUUUUUCCUAUUUGGACAGCACUUCACAAUUUGCAAGUGUUCCCAGGUUUAUUUUCUCAUUUAGUCUUUACGUCUCUGUGGCCUGUCGGCCCCCUUUUACAGGUGGAAAAUUUGGUUCAGAGCAUUAGGGCUGGAACCAAUCCCCAGUCCUGGGCAAGCCCUUGACUCUCAGCCCCUCAGACUUUUCCCAUCGGAGCCUUCCCCAGCUUCGCCAUUUCCCCGAUGGGAGCUGAGGACCAAGGAAACCCAGAGCAGCCGAGUGAGAGGGGGGAAUGCACCUCUGGACUGGGCUAGCAGAUGGUAAUCACAGUGACAGCAGCUGCCCUCGCUGUGUACGCUGUUCUAGGCAGGAAGGGUUUGUCAUUCCUAUUUCACAAAUGAGGACACUGAGGCACAGAAGAGUUAAGAGAUUUCUCUCUCCUGGGUUCCUUCUGACGCCUCUGCAGUGGUACAGCGCUUUAGGGUCUAUAACGUUCAUCUCUCUUCCUGCAUCUCACGGGGACGUGGACAGUCUCCCACUUUACAGAGGUGGCGACUGAGGCUCAGAAGACAGCGGCAGAGCUGGGAGAAGGCACCAGGCCUUCCGAUGCACAAGCGGAGCGCGCCAGACGUCAGGAAGCGCAGCUGGGGCGGGGGCAACAGGGCUACGAGUGGGCGUCCGCGUCAUCCUCCUGCAGCAGCGCAGAGCCCUGGUCCCUGCAGCGAGUGCACCAGGUGCGUGGCCCGUGGGCACGGCGGCGCGGCGGGUGUGCCUGCGUGGGCGCGGGCGAGGGACCCAGGCAGGCGGAGCCCCACGCCCAACCUCCCUCCCACUCGCCUUUUCUCCCGUGGCUGGUGGCAGGUGAGUGGGUGUCGAGGAACCGCCAGGCAGCGGAGAAAACAGGACGCCGCAGAAAUCAGAUUACUCACCUGCAGCUGCGACUACCCAGGGCUAAUAAAAGCUGAGCUUCCUGUUGUUUCUUUAUUACCACCCUCUGCCUCCCCCAGCCCCAGCCGGCUCCCAGCUGCAGCCAGAGCCCUAACCGAUUGCCAGAAACCAGUAGCUUCAGGGUCCUGGACCACUCUGCUGCCUGAAAUUGGACCAUGUGUGUAGCAUGGGAUGGGGUUAAUGUUGCCCCAUGUGUGGCCCCUCCAUCACCUGCAUGGGAAUCACCUGGGGUGCUGGUUAAUAAAAUAAGUCCCCCGACACUGCUUCACAUCUGUUGAAUCAGAAUCGCUGCA